CAUCCUCCAAGGCUAAAUACUCCUGACUGACCGAUAGUGAACCAGUACCGUGAGGGAAAGGCGAAAAGAACCCCGGCGAGGGGAGUGAAAAAGAACCUGAAACCGUGUACGUACAAGCAGUGGGAGCCCCACCACUAAGCCAGUGGUGAACUCCACAUCCGCAUCCUUUGCUGAGGAUACGGUUAACGGAGCGAAAGCGACGUUCAACCGCAAAACAAGCAGAGGGGGCUUAGUGGUGGGGUGACUGCGUACCUUUUGUAUAAUGGGUCAGCGACUUAUAUUCUGUAGCAAGGUUAACCGUAUAGGGGAGCCGGAGGGAAACCGAGUCUUAACCGGGCGUUAAGUUGCAGGGUAUAGACCCGAAACCCGGUGAUCUAGCCAUGGGCAGGUUGAAGGUUGGGUAACACUAACUGGAGGACCGAACCGACUAAUGUUGAAAAAUUAGCGGAUGACCUGUGGCU
rnacentral:rRNA from 1 species